rnacentral:lncRNA from 1 species
AUGGCUGCUAAGAAAAGGGAAAGGAUGCAAGGGAGGAUACUGCACCUCUGCAUGCUUCUCUCCAGCCUCCACUGGUGCUGUGUUUGUCCUGACAUAGCCUGGCACAGCAAGGCGAUGCAUGGCUUGACCGACAACCCUCCAGAGAAAAAGCAAGA